rnacentral:sRNA from 20 species
GUCAGUAACCCAGCCCUAAAGGGACUGGGCUUGUAAGAGUAAUCAAGCAAGCCGUACUGACCAGACCACCCUGAGCGCAGUCGUAAAGCCUACGGCAUAGCUCCCGGCUAGGGUAGCCGUUAUUUGAGUCACGACACCCUGUGGAUGCGUAGCUAGUCCCCUGCUCUGUC